CAUUAUGCUAAUCCUAUUGUUUUCUAUUGCUGAAUUUAAGCGCUAUUUACUCACUAAAUAGUGCUAAGUGUUGGACACUUUUAGUAACAACAUUAUUGCAAGUAGGUGUAUAUAUAUAGUGACUCAAAUAACUUUAGGUCAGGUGCACUGAGCUACUUGGACUCUUAUGGUGAGCUAAUUGAGGUCGUCAAUGUGGGUUUUCAACUUGCUUAACGAAUGAAUUGUCAGGGUUUUUUUUUGUAAUAUAAAAAUGAAUCAUUAAAUGUUGCUUUUUUCGUGUAAUUUUAAUAUCCCACAUAGCCGAUACUAAAGAUGACAGUCAGACAGAUGUGAAACUUCCUGAGAAAGUAGGCCAUCGCUCAACUGCCAUACUUUUGGAUUCCUUGCACCCUGGRGAGUUGAAAGGUAAAAGGAAAAGAACACAAAGAGGACAAGAAACAGAGGAAAAGAGAAAAACAAAGAAGACAAUAUAAUAAUUAAAGGAAGGCUGGUCAUAGAGUACGGGGCUGGAAAUAUAGGAGGGUGGGCCACAAUUUUCAUAUGCACAAAAAGGGGUGGGUGAGAAAAUAUAAUACACCUGAUACACUCAAGGGGUGAGCCAUGUAAUUUCUUUGCAGAAUUGUUCUGUGCUUGUGUAUUGUUUCAUAACUAGUCAAAUUUACACCAUUGGAGUAACAGAAUAUCUACACAAAUGGGGCAAUUUGUACAUUUGUAAGAUGGGCUUCCUUCCCCCCAAAAUUAGACUAUUCUGUUCAGGCUCAUUGGUUCUGCCAAGCCCCAGUGGUUUUGUUUUYCACAUGUAAAUCUAUAGUCUAUACCGUAUUUUAAUCGGUCUAUUGAUAUUUGAAGUCAAUUAAAGGACAACAACAGCAACAAACUUGUGUUAAUUAACAGGAUAAUUUGGUCAACUACGUACUACUACUACUGAGAACCACUAUAGAAGCCUAAGUUCAAGAUUCAGACAUACUGACAUCAUCAUCUGAAUCUCGUACACAUAAUCUUCAUCAUAACCUGUAUCACUAAAACUGAACGAAGUUAAAAAUUGUAGAUCCAUCAGUGAUUUAAUCUCUAAAAUGGCACUCUUGGUGAAUAUCUUCUCCUCUUUACCAUUUUCGGCCAUUUCACAAUAUCCCCUUUUUAAUUCCUGAUAUCCCAGUGUAAUAGAGUGAAGAGAAGUGACCUUCUGGUGUACAAUUUUGGGGUUAUUUAAUAAAAUGAAAGCGUUUUAA